AGGAAAUUUUCUGCACAAUGAAGAAUUAAACAGCCAUUAGGCACUGAGUCUUUCACAUUAAGCAAAUGAAGAAUCAAGCAGCUAUUUAGGAAUAAUUAUUAUAGUUAAAACCUAUAUCUUUUGACCAAUAAUUUAUAACAAUGAACUGGAAGUGCCAAUUUCUGAAUAUGUAGAUUCUAACUUAUGACAAACUGUAAUGACUGAAGCUCAGAUCUGCAGGGCAGCUACGUGUUGAUUGCUUCUUGAGAAACGUCGAUGAACUGUACCGACUCCUGAAUCAUAUCCAGACAUCAGUUUGUCCAGGGCAAAGCGGUGCCAGGAACCAAGCAUUUUGCUCCAGAGCAUACCUGUAGCAGUUUGGCCUCCUUCUCCUGAGGAAAAAAUAAGAGCAGUGCUUAUAAAGGUUUGAUUGGAUGGGCAUAAAGACUGUGCAUAUUUCUCCAGAACAUCUUCAUGGAGAGAAGAUGAAGAGUGACCAAGGCAGAAGAAGUGCUCAUGAUCAGGAAAGGAAAGUUGUUAUACCAAAAUCGUUGGCUUCUUUGCACUGCAGUUGCAGUGAAUAUCCUUGAAUAUGAAUUUAAAGGAAAAAGAUGCCACUGCUACAGUUCAGCAC
rnacentral:lncRNA from 7 species